rnacentral:lncRNA from 1 species
ACCUGGAGAUGUCUAUGGACAACACCGGCUCUUCGGCUUAGAAAUGGAGAUGAGAACCAAUCCCCAGAGUCAGACACGACUGGACUUAACAUCAGGGGAAACCUUUACCUUUACCUAAACAUUGAUAAAAAUAUAAAUAUAAAUACACAAUUAGUGCAUUUUGAGUCUGAUAACUGAUCUGUCAUUGAGUUCUAGGAUGGUAAUAAUUGAUACUGCUGUUAUUGAUCGAAGGCCUGGUCCCACAAGAUAAAAUAGAAUCAUAGAACUGGAUGAGACCACAAGGGCCAUCCACUCCAAGCUCCUUCUAUCACAUAGGAAGACACAACCAAAAUUCUCCUAACAGAUGACCAUCCAGUUUUCACUUAAAAACCUCCACUGGAGUUCCAGGCAGCAUAUUCCACUGUUGAAUGGCUCUUAUUAUCACAAAGUUCAUCCUAAGAUUUAGGUGGACUCUCUCUGAACCAUUGAUCCAUUGUGUCCCAGUCUCUAGAACAGCAGAAAACAUGCUUGUCCCCUUCUCGAUGUGGCAUCCUUAAACAUAUUUAAACAUAGCUCUCAUGUCCUCUCUCAACCUUCUCUUCUUUAAGCUCAACAUGCUCAUAUCCCUAAGACAUUUAUCACAAUCCGUUGAUUAUUUUGGUUGCCCUUCUCUGGACACCUUCCAACUUGUCCUUCUCCUUUGUGAGUUGUUUUGCCCAGAACUGAAUUCGGGGUUAUUCCAGGUGAAAUCCAACCAAAACAGUCUAUGUCUUCCCUUGAUCUCUAGACAUUAGAUGCCUAUUGAGGCAACAAAACAUUGUGAGUUGGUUCAGUUGUGAAAUUUUCCCAUUGAUAUCGCCAUGAUAUCGCCUCUUUUAAUGGCCAUGCUUUUUACUCUGUUGAAGCUGUGUUGUUGAUCUAUUGUGAUUGUUAUGUAUUUUACAUUGUUGUAUUUUAUAUUGUGUAUUUUAUACUGUUGUAUUUUAUUGUAUGUUGUUGGGCUUGGCCCCAUAUGAGCUGCCCCAUCCCUUCGGGAUAUAAAAAUAAAUAACUUCUUCUUCUUCUUCUUCUUCUUCUUCUUCUUCUUCUUCUUCUUCUUCCUCCUCCUCCUCUACUACUACUACUACUACUACUACUACUACUAUUCUUCUUAUUAUUAUUAUUAACUUCAUCUCUAUCCCACUCUUCUCACCCCACAGGGGACUCAGAGCGGCUUACAAUAUACAUUUAGGCAAAAUUUCAGUGCCUCAUUAUACAAAGCAAAUAAAACAUAACAUAAAAUCAAUAGAAACAAUCAACAUAUAAAUGCAAUUUAUAACCAUUAACAUUAAGAUAUUAAAACAUAAAACAGCAUCUAGAUACACCCUACUAGCCCCCCCCCCCCCCGGUCAUGAUCUUAAGGUCUUCUUUGGCUCCCUAUGUGUGUAUAUUUACAUUUUGAUACUUUGAUACCACUUGAAUUGUUUUGGUUCAGUUUUA